UACGGAGGAUGCGAGCGCUAUCCGGAUUUAUUGGGUUUAAAGGGUGCGCAGGCGGCGUGUCAAGUCAGCGGUAAAAUGUCGGGGCUCAACCCCGGCCGGCCGUUGAAACUGGCGUGCUCGAGUUGGAGAGAAGUAUGCGGAAUUCGUGGUGUAGCGGUGAAAUGCAUAGAUAUCACGAAGAACCCCGAUUGCGAAGGCAGCAUACCGGCUCCACACUGACGCUGAGGCACGAAAGCGUGGGUAUCGAACAGG
rnacentral:rRNA from 1 species